rnacentral:lncRNA from 1 species
GGACAGUGUAAGAUUGGAGCUGGAGGCAGGGUGAGGUGCUACUGAGCGUGAAUAAAAGUUGCAGGCUGUAAGCUUGGCUUGCUGCUCCAGCAGCUGGGGCAGGAGGCAUCCCUCUCACCAUGGCACUCUGCAGCACGUGGGAAACAAGUGCUGAUAAUGAUGGGAUGACCGCUCAGCUCUCCUUCACUUGCAAACAGUUGGUGGGAAUUGAAAUCUGUGUGUUUGGGAAAAAAUACCUAGAACUGUAUGGGUGCACAGAUGCUUCCACCUGGCUGACCUAUCAACUGAGAGCUCUGAUGUGAUUCUAGUGAGAAGCCUUUCCCAAGAUGACUCCAAACGUGGAGAGGACAGCAGAGUGCUGUACUGGAGAGGACAGGGGGGCUGUACUGGAGAGGUAAGUGCUCGAGCCAAUACCUGUUCUCUGGGGAAGUUAAUGCAGCAUCCUCCCUCCAUCCUCUCCCCAAAGCUUUGGUUUCUCUAAAACAUCAAGAGAUAUUUUUGGUGUUGUUUUCAAUUUUGAUGUGACUGCUGACCUAUAAAAGAGAAGGACCAACUAUGACUGUAAAUCCAUGACCGUUUUUUGUUAGCUUCAGCCUGAUUCAGAUAUCACACCAUGAGGUGUAUAUCAGAACUGAGUUAUUAUAGAGGGAACAAAGAGGUUCCCUUAGGUCUAGAUUUUCCUGCUGCGUGCUGAAGUGCCAUCAGUGCUCCUUUCCAGGAGGGCAGGAAUUCUCCAGGGCAUUAACUGUUUUCUGCGUGAGUUGGAUGCAUUUGCCAAAACUUGUUUUGUUUCAACAUGCUGGUUCAUGAAAUCGAGUGCAGAAGGACAGUGCCUUUCCUCUCC